GGCCGGGAGGGCGACGGAUACAACACCCGAAAGGGAAAGAAGUCCGCUCGACUGCUUUCGAGUUCUUAACCUCCCGGCCACCUUGCU
rfam:Bordetella avium 197N complete genome